rnacentral:rRNA from 1 species
UACGUAGGGUGCAAGCGUUAAUCGGAAUUACUGGGCGUAAAGCGUGCGCAGGCGGCUUUGCAAGACAGAUGUGAAAUCCCCGGGCUUAACCUGGGAACUGCAUUUGUGACUGCAUGGCUGGAGUGCGGCAGAGGGGGAUGGAAUUCCGCGUGUAGCAGUGAAAUGCGUAGAUAUGCGGAGGAACACCGAUGGCGAAGGCGGCGAUCUGGGUGGUGACUGACGCUGAGGCGCGAAAGCGUGGGGAGCAAACAGG